GGGCGAAUGGUUUAGUGGUAUAAUACUCCCUUAGCAUGGUUCAGGCAACUGAAUACGUACCGUUUGGGAGUGGUCCGGGGUUCGAUUCCCCGUUUGUCCA
rnacentral:tRNA from 1 species